AGGACGAACGCUGGCGGCGCGCUUAACACAUGCAAGUCGAGCGAGAACCGGGGCUUCGGCCCUGGGGACAGCGGCGAACGGGUGAGUAACACGUGGGUAAUCAACCCUCGGCACCGGGAUAGCCCGAGGAAACUCGGAUUAAUACCGGAUAGCCCCUCCGACUCUCGAGUCGGUCGGGAAAGGUAGCUUAGGCCUCUGGCCGGGGACGAGCCCGCGGCGGAUUAGCUUGUUGGUGGGGUAAUGGCCUACCAAGGCGACGAUCCGUAGCUGGUCUGAGAGGACGAUCAGCCACACUGGGACUGAGACACGGCCCAGACUCCUACGGGAGGCAGCAGUGGGGAAUCUUGCGCAAUGGGCGAAAGCCUGACGCAGCGACGCCGCGUGAGGGAAGAAGGCCUUCGGGUUGUAAACCUCUUUCAGGAGGGACGAAGCUACUCGGGUGAAUAGCCCAGAGGGUGACGGUACCUCCAGAAGAAGCCCGGCUAACUACGUGCCAGCAGCCGC
rnacentral:rRNA from 1 species